rnacentral:tRNA from 1 species
GGACCGCUGGCGCAACGGUAGCGCGUUCGACUCCAGCUCAGGCUCAUCGAAAGGUUAUCCGUUCAAAUCGGGUGUGGUUCA